GACGUAGGGCGCGAGCGUUGUCCGGAUUUAUUGGGCGUAAAGAGCUCGUAGGCGGCUUGUCGCGUCGUCCGUGAAAACUUGGGGCUCAACCCCAAGCUUGCGGUCGAUACGGGCAGGCUAGAGUUCGGUAGGGGAGACUGGAAUUCCUGGUGUAGCGGUGAAAUGCGCAGAUAUCAGGAGGAACACCGGUGGCGAAGGCGGAUCUCUGGGCCAUUACUGACGCUGAGGAGCGAAAGCGUGGGGAGCGAACAGG
rnacentral:rRNA from 1 species